rnacentral:rRNA from 1 species
UGACUGCGUACCUUUUGUAUAAUGGGUCAGCGACUUAUAUUCUGUAGCAAGGUUAACCGAAUAGGGGAGCCGCAGGGAAACCGAGUCUUAACCGGGCGUUAAGUUGCAGGGUAUAGACCCGAAACCCGGUGAUCUAGCCAUGGGCAGGUUGAAGGUUGGGUAACACUAACUGGAGGACCGAACCGACUAAUGUUGAAAAAUUAGCGGAUGACCUGUGGCUGGGGGUGAAAGGCCAAUCAAACCGGGAGAUAGCUGGUUCUCCCCGAAAGCUAUUUAGGUAGCGCCUCGUGAAUUCAUCUCCGGGGGUAGAGCACUGUUUCGGCUAGGGGGCCAUCCCGGCUUACCAACCCGAUGCAAACUGCGAAUACCGGAGAAUGUUAUCACGGGAGACACACGGCGGGUGCUAACGUCCGUCGUGAAGAGGGAAACAACCCAGACCGCCAGCUAAGGUCCCAAAGUCAUGGUUAAGUGGGAAACGAUGUGGGAAGGCCCAGACAGCCAGGAUGUUGGCUUAGAAGCAGCCAUCAUUUAAAGAAAGCGUAAUAGCUCACUGGUCGAGUCGGCCUGCGCGGAAGAUGUAACGGGGCUAAACCAUGCACCGAAGCUGCGGCAGCGA